rnacentral:lncRNA from 1 species
GUGGGGUGUGUGUGUGCAUGUGUUUAGCUUAGCCCUGGAGCAAACGUCCUUGGCCCGUGGAUGGAGAUAGCCAAGCCUUGAUUUAACCCUUGAUGUUGUCGUACUUUUGUCCUUUAAGGUUUUCAAGCACUCUGGGACUGGCUCUGUGGCCGAGUGGUUAAGUUCGUGUGCUCCGCUUCAGCGGCCCAGGGUUCGGAUCCUGGGCGCGGACAUGGCACCACUCAUUAGGCCAUGUUGAGGCAGCAUCCCACAUGCCACAAAUAGAAGGAUCCACAACUAAAAAAUGUGCAACUAUGUACCGGGAGGAUUUGGGGAGAAAAAAGCAGGAGAAAAAAAAAAAAUAAGAUUUUCAAGCACUGUGGUCCUGGAAGAAGCAGCAAGGGCUAAUGAGGAGCAGGCUGUACUCUGGGAAACAGGAAAUCUGGUUCCAUUAUGACUUCACCAGGGCCAGCCAUGGAAUUCUGAGCAGCUCGUUUGCUGCCCAGUGCUUUGGGUCUCCCUUGGCUACAGAUGCCAUCUGCGCCUUUAAGAUUGAUUCAACAGAAGGGCCCACAAGACUCCACAGCAGGUUACAGACUCACUGAGACGUAUAAAGCAAAGGAUACAGAGCGACAGCAGCAGGAAAAAGACGUGCAUGAAUGGAGCCCAGAGAGGUUCAACACAGACUUCCAAUAUCCUUCGUGGUUCAAGGCCACACAGGAGAACUCCCUCUCACCAUUAACUGUGGGGACAUGUGUGGAAUGCCUUUGCCCAUGGAAGCCUGUUUGAGUCUCAGAGUCCAAGGCUUUUAUGGAGAUCUGGCCACACGGGUAUAUUCUGCCAUGCAACCAGCCACGACAACCAAAACUCACGACCCUCACCAUGAAACCAGGUGCACAUCACUGAUCUUGACGUUUGUACAAAGCAACCUGACAAGCAGGUAUGGCAUGGUCCAUCGCUCCAGUGUAUAUAACAAAACAAUCAAUCACUACCAUAAAGAACACUCUAGGGACCACGUUCCCAGCGGGUGGCCAAUGGUUAAUCAUGG